rnacentral:rRNA from 1 species
AUCCGGCAGGAGUUGCGUAUUCGGGGUUGUGGGACUUUUCAGGUUGCUCUGCCGAGCAGCCGGCGUUACAAGAAGGUAUAGACGAACUGGAUUGAAAGCCAGGUCAUAGAGGGUGCCAACCCCGUAGUCGAAAUGCCUCUCUUGACGCGAAGAGUAUCCCAAGUAGCACGGGGCCCGAGAAAUCCCGUGUGAAUCUGUCAGGACCACCUGAUAAGCCUAAAUACUCCCAGAUGACCGAUAGCGGACAAGUACCGUGAGGGAAUGGUGAAAAGCACCCCGGGAGGGGAGUGAAAUAGUACCUGAAACCGUUUGCUUACAAACCGUUGGAGCCUCCCUAGUAGGGGUGACAGCGUGCCUUUUGAAGAAUGAGCCUGCGAGUUAGUGGUGUGUGGCGAGGUUAACCCGGGUGGGGAAGCCGUAGCGAAAGCGAGUCCGAAUAGGGCGUUUGAGUCGCAUGCUCUAGACCCGAAGCGGAGUGAUCUACCCAUGGCCAGGUUGAAGCGCGGGUAAGACCGCGUGGAGGACCGAACCCACCAGGGUUAAAAACCUGGGGGAUGAGCUGUGGGUAGGGGUGAAAGGCCAAUCAAACUUCGUGAUAGCUGGUUCUCUCCGAAAUGCAUUUAGGUGCAGCGUCACGUGUUUCUUGCCGGAGGUAGAGCUACUGGAUGGCUAAUGGGCCCCACCGGGUUACUGACGUCAGCCAAACUCCGAAUGCCGGUAAGUGAGAGCGUGGCAGUGAGACUGCGGGGGAUAAGCUUCGUAGUCGAGAGGGAAACAGCCCAGAUCAUCAGCUAAGGCCCCUAAGCGUGUGCUAAGUGGGAAAGGAUGUGGAGUUGCGCAGACAACCAGGAGGUUGGCUUAGAAGCAGCCACCCUUGAAAGAGUGCGUAAUAGCUCACUGGUCAAGUGAUUCCGCGCCGACAAUGUAGCGGGGCUCAAGCGGUCCGCCGAAGCUGUGACAUCCACGCGUGAUGUGUGGGUGGGUAGGGGAGCGUCGUGUGUUCGGUGAAGCCCGGGGGUGACCCCUGGUGGAGGGCACGCGAGUGAGAAUGCAGGCAUGAGUAGCGAAUGACGGGUGGGAAACCCGUCCGCCGAUUAUCCAAGGGUUCCAGGGUCAAGUUUGUCUGCCCUGGGUGAGUCGGGUCCUAAGGCGA